rnacentral:rRNA from 1 species
GACGAACGCUGGCGGCGUGCUUAACACAUGCAAGUCGAACGGAAAGGCCCUGCUUUUGUGGGUUGCUCGAGUGGCGAACGGGUGAGUAACACGUGAGUAACCUGCCCUUGACUUUUGGAUAACUUCAGGAAACUGGGGCUAAUACCGGAUAGGAGCUCCUGCUGCAUGGUGUGGGUUGGAAAGUUUCGGCGGUUGGGGAUGGACUCGCGGCUUAUCAGCUUGUUGGUGGGGUAGUGGCUUACCAAGGCUUUGACGGGUAGCCGGCCUGAGAGGGUGACCGGCCACAUUGGGACUGAGAUACGGCCCAGACUCCUACGGGAGGCAGCAGUGGGGAAUAUUGCACAAUGGGCGGAAGCCUGAUGCAGCAACGCCGCGUGCGGGAUGACGGCCUUCGGGUUGUAAACCGCUUUCGCCUGUGACGAAGCGUGAGUGACGGUAAUGGGUAAAGAAGCACCGGCUAACUACGUG